rnacentral:snoRNA from 1 species
CCCCUCUCAGGGUCGUACCUGGAGAGUUUCCAGUACUCUACCAGUCUCAGCUAUGGGAGGGAGAGUCAAGCAGAAGCCUACCCAUUCCAUUCCUAGUUUGAGCAGUGGCUAGCAAGUGGAAGGCAAUCUGCUACGAGU